ACUUAAACGGACAAGAUCAGGACUUGAGC
rnacentral:piRNA from 1 species